UUGUUCCCUCACCACCUGUGAUGUUGCCUGAGGCCUGUUCAACGCGGAAGCGGAAGCAAGGCAUCUUCAGUCCCCAAGGAGCCAGCCAAUGAGGCACCAUUCCAAGCCUGUUCCUCAGAGGUGAGACAGGCCCUGGAAGGUUCUGGAUGUCAUCAGAGGCUGAGGCUGUCCUGGACACUUGGCCUUACUAGCAGCUAAGAGAACAGAGAGACAAGGAAGAAGAUUUGCUGACACGUGCUAUUGGAAACACGGAUUCUGAAAUUUAUAAAUCCUGAAGAGGAAACACACCUGGGGACACGUCUUCCUCUGGGUACCAUCUCAAUGUUCU
rnacentral:lncRNA from 1 species